rnacentral:rRNA from 1 species
UACGUAGGGGGCAAGCGUUGUCCGGAUUUAUUGGGCGUAAAGAGCGUGUAGGCGGCUAGGUAGGUCCGUUGUGAAAACUCGAGGCUCAACCUCGAGACGUCGAUGGAAACCAUCUAGCUAGAGUCCGGAAGAGGAGAGUGGAAUUCCGUGGUGUAGCGGUGAAAUGCGCAGAUAUCAGGAAGAACACCCGUGGCGAAGGCGGCGUCUCUGGGACGGUACUGACGCUGAGACGCGAAAGCGUGGGAGCGAACAGG